GGGGCCGUGGUCUAGUGGUUAUGACGCGUCCCUUACAAGGACGAGGUCCGUGGUUCAAAUCCGCGCGGCCCCA
rnacentral:tRNA from 1 species